rnacentral:lncRNA from 1 species
GUUCUGGGCUUGCCUGGGAGAAGGAGCUGUUGCAGUCUUGCACGAUCAAAAUAGGGCCUUUAGGUUUGAAGGAUGAGGUUGAGCCCAUAUUUUGACUCCAAAUGUCGGGGGAGGGGAGAAGAAGUCGACAGAUCCAAACAAGGAACAUUUGAAUGAAAUGCAGAUAACUCUUUAGAAAACUUUUGUAGGAAAAGCGCCUCGUGUGAUCUGGAACAAAGACGUUUUAUAAUCAGAUUUAUCAAGCUGCGAAGAGGGAGUUUUAGUGAACGGAAGCAGCAGCAUUCUGUCACCAGGAAAUACUCCUUUAUCCAGAAUUGAGCCCCUCCCCAGAAGGCAAAGGAUCACCCAGCUGCUGGAAGGUGUAGGUACCCU